GACGUAGGGUCCAAGCGUUGUCCGGAUUUACUGGGCGUAAAGAGCGCGUAGGCGGCUUGUUAAGUGUGAUGUGAAAUCUCCAGGGCUCAACCCGGAAACUGCUUUACAUACUGGCAAGCUGGAGUGAUGCAGAGGUUUGUGGAAUUCCUGGUGUAACGGUGAAAUGUGUUGAUAUCAGGAGGAACACCCAUGGCGAAGGCAGCAAACUGGGCAUCAACUGACGCUGAGGCGCGAAAGCGUGGGUAGCAAACAGG
rnacentral:rRNA from 1 species